UGGGACUUGGCUAUUAAGGUCUCACUUAAUAGUCAAAGCAUUAACUACUAAGAUUUCAUUUUAUAACAAAAGUGGUACUUGUCUAUUAAGGUUUUUUUAUAAAGAAAACUUCAUUAGACUUUUAAAAGUGAUCCAAUGUGGGACUUGACUAUUAAAGUUUCACUUUGAAGUCUUUUUAUAAGGAAAACUUCCUUAGACUUUUACAAGUUAACCAAUGUGGGACUUGGCUAUAUGUUAUUCUCUUGCCUUACCAAUAUCCCACAUUGUCUAAUUUGUGUUAUCAUGUCUUACUUUUAUUCUAUAAAUAGGGGAGGCCACCAAUUCAAAUCAAGAAUUCUAGUAUGUAUUUUCUUGUGUUAGUUCUAUAGUUCUAUUUUAUAAAUAGAGUAGACUUUAAUCCAAUUUUUCAAAGCUAAGUGAAAUAUUUUUUUAAAAAUGAAUUGAACUCGUACAACUGGUUCGGUCCGGUAUAUACUGGACUUCUAAAAUUGAUAACCGAAAUUGGUACCGAAAAAUUGGUAUAUACCGGUUUUUUUGUACCGAACCGAACCGGGUCCUUUUUAUACCGAACCGAUCGGUUCAGAAAAUCGAAAAACCGGAAAAACCGAUCCAAAUGAACAACCCUAGUAUAGGCUGAGUUAGAAAAUUGUAAAGUGGCUAUGAAAAAAAUGUGAAAUCUGAGAAUUCUGGGCAGAAGCUCAGCGCUGCAGCGCUGAGAUUAGUGGCGAAGCCACAUAUAACUUUGUGGGGUCAAUCGAUCCCACUAGAAAAAAAAUUUGCUUUAUAAUGUAAGGUAAAUUUUUUAAAAUAUAAGUAUUAUAUAUAAAUUGACCACUAAAAUUUUAUAAAUUUUAUAUUAUACGGGGUCAAAUUGAAAAUUUAUAACUUUGUCAAUCAAAUUUUAACCACAUAUGACUCAUAUCCCCUCAAUAUAUGUAUUUCUCUCUAUAAUAUUUUAAAUUAAAUAAUAAUCUAAUUUAUAUUAUUUUUAAAAAUAAAUAAUGAAUUACUUACAUAAGAACAGUUGUGAUUAAAAAAAGUUUGAGUCAAUAUAGUGUAUAUAUACCAUAUAUUAUUACUCAUUAUAUUUUAAUUGUAAUAUAGUAUAUAUAUGUGUGUGCAUAUAUAUACUCGAAAGUAUAAAGUAUUAAAAAAAAUUGACUCGGGGGCGCUGCCCCCGAACCCUCGCCAAAUUAUUUUUAAGUCAGUAAUAAUUUCGACCCCACUGACAAAAGUUUCUGACUUCGUCACUGGCUGAGAUAGUGCGCCGCGGCUCUGGUCCCCUGCUGCAUUACUCCAAAUUUUUAUUCUUUUUCCGAUUUUGUAGUCCAGAACAGAAAAAAUUCCUGACUCCGCCCUUGCAUGCAACCCAUCUUAUAUCAACCCAAUUUCAGUAGACUUACGUACCUUCUGGCCCGGGUCGUCCUAUUGGGGCAACGCCUUUCGGUUAGCUUGAAACAACUUUAGCUAUAUAUUACAAGGAUAGAUAAGGAGAAGGUUAACUAGCUAGUGUCGAAGAAUGAUAUAUGCCCUUAGGGGUGCAAACGAAUCGAAUCUGAGCGAACACCUUUAUGCUCGGAUUCGGCUCGAUUCAAAAAAAUUGAGCUCGGAUUCGAUAAAGGAUUUAUAUUUUCGCGCCAGAUUCAACUCGGAUCAUUACUCGGACCUACUCGGCUCGUAAGUACUCGACUCGUUUAUAAAGCGAGUUACUCAUGAGCCUUCAAAUUGAGUUUCGAAUAUGAACCAUUUCACUUAAAAAUGAACCACUACAUACUAAAUUGGUUACUAAACUAAUAUUUAUAUAUAAAACUUUUUCACUUUUAUUUAUGUAUUGAAAUUAUAAAGAAUGUAAUAUAAAUUGACAUUUAAUUCAUUGAUUUAUUCAAGUACAAGUUUACACAAUUUCAUACUACACUUUAUAAAUUAUAAAGAUUGAUAUAAAUAUCACAUAUUUAGCUUACUAGCAUGGAUCAGACCAAUAUUCGAAUAUGAUCCAUCGAACAGGUAUCGAGUAUGGUUUGAGAAAAAAUGAAAUACUCGAACCUUAAUACGAGCGAACACUGGUCUGCUCGAGUUUGACUCGUGUAUCAUUAAACAGAAAACGAGUAUGGAUCAGAUUCGACUCAGAUCAACUUCGAAUUCGAGAUUUAAAUUAUAUUUUCGAGCCGAUCUCGAGUCGAGUACCGAACUACUUGACUCGGUUAUCACCCCUAUAUAUAUGCCCUCAUCUAUAUACAUAUGCAUGUAUAAGUGGAUAUUGUCAAAGUAAAAACUAUUAAAGUGUUAUUAAAUGUAUAAUUUUUAAAAAUAUUUCACAGCAAAAGUUUAUUACAAAGUGUGUACCAUGCAAUCCAUCUUAUAUUAACAUCAAAUAGAUGCAAUUUUAAAGUAUUUUGAACAGUCCGCCUCCGCCGACAUGUCCGAACUCCCUAAAUUAUAUUACAAACGGUCCAAAAUUUAAAAGUCACGAAGAUGGUGUAAAUUUUGCAAAAAAGUUUUACUUGCAAAAUAUACAAAUACCAAGGAUUAUUUUUGUUCUGUAGACAACUUUAGCGUGUGUAUAUAUAUACACACACAUAUGGAUGUUUGUUUCCAAUUUAAGUAGACUUACCUUCUGGCCUGGGUCGUCCUUUUGGAGCAACGCCUUUUCCUUAGCUUGUCGUAACAAUGACUCAAGCUCAACCUCAUCAUGCCUCACUGGUUGUGCCAUCUCCUCGAUCGACGAUAGCUAUCCUUUAAUUCUGCUAUAUAUAUUUUCUAUUUUUGUAGUUUAUAUCUAUAUAUCUUUCUUCCAAAGGCUAGCUCUAUUUAUAGAUUAGCUCUAUUUACAACACAGGGUACUGAUGUUAUUCGUGGAUAAUCUUGUUUUAGUAUAUUAUACUAUAAUAUCCUAUCUUCAAAUAUUCCUUCCUUUUUUCGCAGUGGGGAUCCUGGAUAAGUUUGAAUUCAUGAUCAUCGCAAAAGAUAGAUCACAUAUGCUUGUGCCAUCUCCUCCAUCUGUUUUUGUUCUUG
rnacentral:lncRNA from 1 species